GAGAAAGGUGAGUCAUCGAAUCUUUGAACGCACAUUGCGCCCGCCAGUAUUCUGGCGGGCAUGCCUGUUCGAGCGUCAUUUCAACCCUCAAGCCCCCGGGCUUGGUGUUGGGGAUCGGCCACCCUCUCCGGCGCGCCGGCCCCGAAAUCUAGUGGCGGUCUCGCUGUAGCCUCCUCUGCGUAGUAGCACACCUCGCACCGGAACGCAGCCUGGCCACGCCGUUAAACCCCCCACUUCUGAAGGUUGACCUCGGAUCAGGUAGGAAUACCCGCUGAACUUAAGCAUAUCAAUAAGCGGAGG
rnacentral:misc_RNA from 1 species